rnacentral:rRNA from 1 species
GACGAACGCUGGCGGCGUGCUUAACACAUGCAAGUCGAACGCUGAAGCUCAGCUUUUGUUGGGUGGAUGAGUGGCGAACGGGUGAGUAACACGUGAGUAACCUGCCCCCUUCUUUGGGAUAACGCCCGGAAACGGGUGCUAAUACUGGAUAUUCACUGGUCUUCGCAUGGGGGUUGGUGGAAAGGGUUUUUCUGGUGGGGGAUGGGCUCGCGGCCUAUCAGCUUGUUGGUGGGGUGAUGGCCUACCAAGGCUUUGACGGGUAGCCGGCCUGAGAGGGUGACCGGUCACAUUGGGACUGAGAUACGGCCCAGACUCCUACGGGAGGCAGCAGUGGGGAAUAAUGCACAAUGGGCGCAAGCCUGAUGCAGCGACGCCGCGUGAGGGAUGGAGGCCUUCGGGUUGCGAACCUCUUUCGCUCAUGGUCAAGCCGCAACAAUGGUUGUGGUGAGGGUAGUGGGUAAAGAAGCGCCGGCUAACUACGUG